rnacentral:lncRNA from 1 species
GCGGAGCGUCGCUCGGUACGGGCAGUGCAAUAGCAUCACGAAUGCCUCCUUGAAGCUAACAAAAUGGGGUAUAACCGGCGAGUGUCACAAUUCAUCUCCAGCCUCAGGAUUGGACCGAUAACCAGUUACGUUUUAGUAGCUGCGGUUGUAAUGACACUGUCACUACACCUUCUCAAGGAGCGUAAAAUCUACUCUGUAUCAGAGAAUUUCCAAGAUUCUACGGUCGAAAGUAGGACUGCGACCAAAUCCACCUCUACAGAGAUACGUGGAAUAAACCAAAAAGGUGCGGGCG